GCAUGGAUGAGAAGGGAGGGAGGGAGGCCACGCUGUUCAGACUUCCUGACAACAACCAACAGAUGGACCCGUCAAUUCAAAUCCCCAAUUAGAGACUUCUAUUCAGGCCUUAUGUAAGAGGGCUGUCACUGGUACGUUAGCUGUAUAGCUAAAAGGGGUUACCAUAUUCUGUCACUGGUACGUUAGCUGUAUAGCUAAAGAGGGUUACCAUAUUCUGUCACUGGUACGUUAGCUGUAUAGCUAAAGAGGGUUACCAUAUUCUGUCACUGGUACGUUAGCUGUAUAGCUAAAGAGGGUUACCAUAUUCUGUCACUGAUACGUUAGCUGUAUAGCUAAAGAGGGUUACCAUAUUCUGUCACUGGUACGUUAGCUGUAUAGCUAAAGAGGUUUACCAUAUUCUGUCACUGGUACGUUAGCUGUAUAGCUAAAGAGGUUUACCAUAUUCUGUCACUGGUACGUUAGCUUUAUAGCUAAAGAGGGUUACCAUAUUCUGUCACUGGUACGUUAGCUGUAUAGCUAAAGAGGUUUACCAUAUUCUGUCACUGGUACGUUAGCUUUAUAGCUAAAGAGGGUUACCAUAUUCUGUCACUGGUACGUUAGCUUUAUAGCUCAAGAGGGUUACCAUAUUCUGGUACGUUAGCUGUAUAGCUAAGAGGGUUACCAUAUUCUGUGACUGGUAUGUGACAGGGUAGCCUGGUGGUUAGAGCGUUGGACUAGUAACCGAAAGGUUGCAAGUUCAAAUCCCCUAGCUGACAAGGUACAAAUCUGUCGUUCUGCCCCUGAACAAGGCAGUUAGCCCACUGUUCCUAGGCCGGCAUUGAAAAUAAGAUUUUGUUCUUAACUGACUUGCCUAAUAAAGGUAAAAUAAAAUAAAUAAAAAUGGUAGCUUUAUAGCUAAAGAGGUUUACCAUAUUCUGGUACGUUAGCUUUAUAGCUAAAGAGGGUUACCAUAUUCUGUCACUCUGUACAGUAUCUAGCAUCACAUUGAGGCUGAAUUAUGGUGAAACAUACAGUAUAAAUGACUGUAACAUACAGUAUAAAUGAUUAUAACAUACAGUAUAAAUGAUUAUAACAUACAGUAUAAAUGAUUAUAACAUACAGUAUAAAUGAUUAUAACAUACAGUAUAAAUGAUUAUAACAUACAGUAUAAAUGACUGUAACAUACAGUAUAAAUGACUGUAACAUACAGUAUAAAUGACUGUAACAUACAGUAUAAAUGAUUAUAACAUACAGUAUAAAUGACUAACAUACAGUAUAAAUGAUUGUAACAUACAGUAUAAAUGAUUGUAACAUACAGUAUAAAUGAUUAUAACAUACAGUAUAAAUGAUUGUAACAUACAGUAUAAAUGAUUGUAACAUACAGUAUAAAUGAUUAUAACAUACAGUAUAAAUGAUUGUAACAUACAGUAUAAAUGAUUAUAACAUACAGUAUAAAUGAUUAUAACAUACAGUAUAAAUGAUUGUAACAUACAGUAUAAAUGACUGUAACAUACAGUAUAAAUGAUUAUAACAUACAGUAUAAAUGACUGUAACAUACAGUAUAAAUGAUUAUAACAUACAGUAUAAAUGGUUAUAACAUACAGUAUAAAUGAUUGUAACAUACAGUAUAAAUGAUUGUAACAUACAGUAUAAAUGAUUAUAACAUACAGUAUAAAUGAUUGUAACAUACAGUAUAAAUGAUUGUAACAUACAGUAUAAAUGAUUAUAACAUACAGUAUAAAUGGUUAUAACAUACAGUAUAAAUGAUUGUAACAUACAGUAUAAAUGAUUGUAACAUACAGUAUAAAUGAUUGUAACAUACAGUAUAAAUGAUUGUAACAUACAGUAUAAAUGAUUGUAACAUACAGUAUAAAUGAUUAUAACAUACAGUAUAAAUGAUUGUAACAUACAGUAUAAAUGAUUGUAACAUACAGUAUAAAUGAUUGUAACAUACAGUAUAAAUGAUUAUAACAUACAGUAUAAAUGAUUAUAACAUACAGUAUAAAUGAUUGUAACAUACAGUAUAAAUGAUUGUAACAUACAGUAUAAAUGAUUGUAACAUACAGUAUAAAUGAUUGUAACAUACAGUAUAAAUGAUUGUAACAUACAGUAUAAAUGACUGUAACAUACAGUAUAAAUGAUUGUAACAUACAGUAUAAAUGAUUAUAACAUACAGUAUAAAUGAUUGUAACAUACAGUAUAAAUGAUUAUAACAUACAGUAUAAAUGGUUAUAACAUACAGUAUAAAUGACUGUAACAUACAGUAUAAAUGAUUGUAACAUACAGUAUAAAUGAUUAUAACAUACAGUAUAAAUGAUUGUAACAUACAGUAUAAAUGAUUGUAACAUACAGUAUAAAUGAUUAUAACAUACAGUAUAAAUGAUUGUAACAUACAGUAUAAAUGAUUAUAACAUACAGUAUAAAUGAUUAUAACAUGCAGUAUAAAUGACUGUAACAUACAGUAUAAAUGACUAACAUACAGUAUAAAUGACUAACAUACAGUAUAAAUGACUGUAACAUACAGUAUAAAUGAUUAUAACAUACAGUAUAAAUGAUUGUAACAUACAGUAUAAAUGACUGUAACAUACAGUAUAAAUGACUGUAACAUACAGUAUAAAUGAUUAUAACAUACAGUAUAAAUGACUGUAACAUACAGUAUAAAUGACUGUAACAUACAGUAUAAAUGACUGUAACAUACAGUAUAAAUGACUGUAACAUACAGUAUAAAUGACUGUAACAUACAGUAUAAAUGACUGUAACAUACAGUAUACAUGACUGUAACAUACAGUAUACAUGACUGUAACAUACAGUAUACAUGACUGUAACAUACAGUAUACAUGACUGUAACAUACAGUAUAAAUGAUUAUAACAUACAGUAUAAAUGAUUAUAACAUACAGUAUAAAUGAUUAUAACAUACAGUAUAAAUGAUUAUAACAUACAGUAUAAAUGAUUAUAACAUACAGUAUAAAUGACUGUAACAUACAGUAUAAAUGACUAACAUACAGUAUAAAUGACUGUAACAUACAGUAUAAAUGACUGUAACAUACAGUAUAAAUGACUGUAACACCCCAUCCUGUUGAUAGAACCAUAUAGGGCCAAAGGUUGAACACGCGGAGCAACACUGAUUCAGGCAACGGGUGAAAUAACAUGGGAAAAAUGCUUGCUACGCUGCUCCCAUUUUCAGCUAUUUUCUUUCCCUGGCCUGUCUCUGUCUCUGUUUAAACCCUCUCUUCUCUUUCCCUGGCCUGUCUCUGUCUCUGUUUAAACCCUCUCUUCUCUUUCCCUGGCCUGUCUCUGUCUCUGUUUAAACCCUCUCUUCUCUUUCCCUGGCCUGUCUCUGUUCAGAUGUUUAAACCCUCUCUUCUCUUUCCCUGGCCUGUCUCUGUCUCUGUUUAAACCCUCUCUUCUCUUUCCCUGGCCUGUCUCUGUCUCUGUCCAGAUGUUUAAACCCUCUCUUCUCUUUCCCUGGCCUGUCUCUGUCUCUGUUCAGAUGUUUAAACCCUCUCUUCUCUUUCCCUGGCCUGUCUCUGUCUCUGUCCAGAUGUUUAAACCCUCUCUUCUCUUUCCCUGGCCUGUCUCUGUCUCUGUUUAAACCCUCUCUUCUCUUUCCCUGGCCUGUCUCUGUCUCUGUUCAGAUGUUUAAACCCUCUCUUCUCUUUCCCUGGCCUGUCUCUGUCUCUGUUCAGAUGUUUAAACCCUCUCUUCUCUUUCCCUGGCCUGUCUCUGUCCAGAUGUUUAAACCCUCUCUUCUCUUUCCCUGGCCUGUCUCUGUUCAGAUGUUUAAACCCUCUCUUCUCUUUCCCUGGCCUGUCUCUGUCUCUGUCCAGAUGUUUAAACCCUCUCUUCUCUUUCCCUGGCCUGUCUCUGUCUCUGUUCAGAUGUUUAAACCCUCUCUUCUCUUUCCCUGGCCUGUCUCUGUCCAGAUGUUUAAACCCUCUCUUCUCUUUCCCUGGCCUGUCUCUGUCCAGAUGUUUAAACCCUCUCUUCUCUUUCCCUGGCCUGUCUCUGUCUCUGUUCAGAUGUUUAAACCCUCUCUUCUCUUUCCCUGGCCUGUCUCUGUCUCUGUUCAGAUGUUUAAACCCUCUCUUCUCUUUCCCUGGCCUGUCUCUGUCUCUGUUCAGAUGUUUAAACCCUCUCUUCUCUUUCCCUGGCCUGUCUCUGUCUCUGUUCAGAUGUUUAAACCCUCUCUUCUCUUUCCCUGGCCUGUCUCUGUCUCUGUCCAGAUGUUUAAACCCUCUCUUCUCUUUCCCUGGCCUGUCUCUGUCUCUGUUUAAACCCUCUCUUCUCUUUCCCUGGCCUGUCUCUGUCUCUGUUUAAACCCUCUCUUCUCUUUCCCUGGCCUGUCUCUGUUCAGAUGUUUAAACCCUCUCUUCUCUUUCCCUGGCCUGCCUCUGUUCAGAUGUUUAAACCCUCUCUUCUCUUUCCCUGGCCUGUCUCUGUCUCUGUCCAGAUGUUUAAACCCUCUCUUCUCUUUCCCUGGCCUGCCUCUGUUCAGAUGUUUAAACCCUCUCUUCUCUUUCCCUGGCCUGUCUCUGUCUCUGUUUAAACCCUCUCUUCUCUUUCCCUGGCCUGUCUCUGUUCAGA